ACUCAAAGGAAUAGACGGGGGCCCGCACAAGCGGUGGAUUAUGUGGUUUAAUUCGAUGCAACGCGCAAAACCUUACCUAGGCUUGACAUCCCGCGCAUAGCUAUGAAAGUAGUGAAAUUCCUUCGGGAACGCGGUGACAGGUGCUGCAUGGCUGUCGUCAGCUCGUGUCGUGAGAUGUUGGGUUAAGUCCCGCAACGAGCGCAACCCUUGUUGUUAGUUGCCAGCAUUAAGUUGGGCACUCUAGCAAGACCGCUUGCCGAUAAGGCAGAGGAAGGUGGGGAUGACGUCAAGUCCGCAUGGCCCUUACGCCUAGGGCUACACACGUAAUACAAUGGUCGGUACAGAGCGCUGCAAGACCGCAAGGUGGAGCUAAUCGCAGAAAACCGAUCUCAGUUCGGAUUGCUCUCUGCAACUCGAGAGCAUGAAGUUGGAAUCGCUAGUAAUCGCGGAUAAGUAUGCCGCGGUGAAUACGUUCCCGGGCCUUGCACACACCGCCCGU
rnacentral:rRNA from 1 species